UGAGACCUACGGGACGCAGCAGUGGGGAAUAUUGGACAAUGGGGGGAACCCUGAUCCAGCGACGCCGCGUGAGUGAAGAAGUAUUUCGGUAUGUAAAGCUCUAUCAGCAGGGAAGAAAAAAAUGACGGUACCUGAAUAAGAAGCCCCGGCUAACUACGUGCCAGCAGCCGCGGUAAUACGUAGGGGGCAGGCGUUAUCCGGAUUUACUGGGUGUAAAGGGAGCGUAGACGGC
rnacentral:rRNA from 1 species